rnacentral:rRNA from 1 species
GACAGAGGGUGCAAACGUUGUUCGGAAUUACUGGGCGUAAAGCGUGUGUAGGCGGUUAAUCAAGUCAGAAGUGAAAUCCCAGGGCUUAACCCUGGAAUUGCUUUUGAAACUGAUUGGCUAGAGUACUGGAGAGGUUAGCAGAAUUCCGAGUGUAGAGGUGAAAUUCGCAGAUAUUCGGAGGAAUACCAGUGGCGUAAGCGGCUAACUGGACAGUAACUGACGCUGAGACACGAAAGCGUGGGGAUCAAACAGG